rfam:Oryza rufipogon genomic scaffold, chr11
AAUAAGUACAGUUUUGCACUAUUCACGUUCAACGUUUGACCGUUCGUCUUCUUUGAAAAGUUUUUAUGAUUGGUAUUUUUAUUACUAUUAGAUGAUAAAACAUAAAUAAUACUUUAUAUGUGACUAAAUAUUUUCAAAUUUUUCAUAAAUUUUUCAAAUAAGACGGACGGUCAAACGUUGGGCACGGAUAUCCACGGCUGCACUUAUU